ACAUCUGCCUAUUUUCGAAAAAUUCGCUGUCAUUUUAUUUAUCAAUACAUUGAAACAGAUAUACAAAAUUUACAACGUUAAUAAAGCCAAGUUCAUGCGAUAAUAUAUAUUUCAUGCUUUUAAGUUGGUACAUAACCCAAAAUAUGUUAUGUGUAAUUAUUUUAUAACUUAGUAAUAUAAACUUAUUGUUUCGAUUUAAUCACUCCAUAAAUAAUAUAAGAAAUAUGAUUAAUCCACUACAAAAAUUAUUUUCUUUCUUAAAAUAUUGGUAUUUCAGAUACAUGCUUGUUACGGAAUUAUACAUGGUUGAAGAAUGGGAAAGAAAUUUUAUCAAUAUAUUUUUUGUUGUACUCUUCUUUUUCUUUUUUGUAUUCAAUUGUAAAAUAGUAUUACCAAUUAUACAAUACAUGUUACAU